AUGAACGCUGGCGGCGUGCCUAAUACAUGCAAGUCGAGCGAACAGAUGAGGAGCUUGCUCCUCUGACGUUAGCGGCGGACGGGUGAGUAACACGUGGAUAACCUACCUAUAAGACUGGGAUAACUUCGGGAAACCGGAGCUAAUACCGGAUAAUAUAUUGAACCGCAUGGUUCAAUAGUGAAAGACGGUUUUGCUGUCACUUAUAGAUGGAUCCGCGCCGCAUUAGCUAGUUGGUAAGGUAACGGCUUACCAAGGCGAUGAUGCGUAGCCGACCUGAGAGGGUGAUCGGCCACACUGGAACUGAGACACGGUCCAGACUCCUACGGGAGGCAGCAGUAGGGAAUCUUCCGCAAUGGGCGAAAGCCUGACGGAGCAACGCCGCGUGAGUGAUGAAGGUCUUCGGAUCGUAAAACUCUGUUAUUAGGGAAGAACAAAUGUGUAAGUAACUAUGCACGUCUUGACGGUACCUAAUCAGAAAGCCACGGCUAACUACGUG
rnacentral:rRNA from 1 species